CCGUAGGGGUGCCGGCGAUCCAACACUACUGAGUUUAAGCAUAUCAUUAAGCCGAGGAAAAGAAACUUACCAGGAUUCCCCUAGUAAUGGCGAGCGAAUAGGGAAAAGCCUAGCUUCAGAAUCGAGCACCAUCGGUAUCUGAAUUGUAGUCUGUAGAACCAUCCUCAGCUAGGGACCAGCCCAAGUCCUUUAUAAAGGGGCACCGGAGAGGGUGAGAGCCCCGUCGUGCUCAGACCUUGUCACACCACGAGGCGCUGUCUACGAGUCGGAUUGUUUGGGAAUGUAGCCCUGAUUAGGCAGUAAAUUCCGUCCAAGGCUAAAUACGGGUGAGAGACUGAUAGCGAACAAGUACAGCGAAAGAAAGAUAAAAAGGACUUUGGAAAGAAAGUCAAAGGGUGCUUGAAAUUGUCGGGAGGGAAGCAGAUGGGGGUUGGCAAUGAGCCCCGAGAGGAUGUGGAACAGCGAGAGACGGUCCACCAAUCGGCUCAGGGUGUGGACCAACACUGGUCGUGGUGACGGCCUAUGCCCGGGACUUUGAUACGCCCAUGUAGACAUCGUAGCCUCAAUCGUGAGAUCCAGCACCUGACGUCUUAAUGUGGUUCGGCACCUGUAUGCUCUGGGCGUCGGCUUGUGGGCUCCCCAUUCGACUCGUCUUGGAACACGGGCCAAGGAGUCUGACAUGUGUGUGAGUCAACGGGUUAAAAAACCUUAAGGUGAAAUGAAGCUGAUUCGCGGGAUCCCUCACGGGUGCACCGCAGACCGGCCUUGAUCUUCUGAAAAGGGUUCGAGUGAGAGCAUGCCUCUUAAGACUCGAAAGAUGGUGAACUAUGCCUGAGCAGGGCAAAGCUUGUUGAAACUCUAGUGGAGGCCCGCAGCGAUACUGCCGUGCAAAUUGUUCGUCUGACUUGGGUAUAGGGGCAAGAGACUAAUCAAACCAUCUAGUAGCUAGUUCCCUCCGAAUUUUCCCUCAGGAUAGCUAGAGCCCUUUGCGAGUUCUGUCAGGUAAAGCCAAGGAUUAGAGGCAUCGGGGGCGCAACACCCUCGACCUAUUCUCAAACUGUAAAUAGGUAAGAUGGUGCGGCUACUUCAUUGAGCCGCGCCAUGGAAUCGAGAGCUCCAAGUGGGCCAUUUUUGGUAAGCAAAAAUGAUGAUGCAGGAUGAACCGAAAGCUAGGUUACGGUGCCUAAGUAUGCGCUGACCUAUAACCCACAAAGGCUGUUAGUCGAUAAAAACAGCAAGACAAUGGUCAUGGAAGUCGACAUUCGCUAAGGAGUGUGUAACAACUCACCUGUCGAAUCAACUAGCCUCAAAAAUAGAUAGAGCUUAUACGUGCGACCUAUACCCAGUCGUCGGGGUAAGGGCCAGGCACCGAUGAAUAGGAGGGUGAGGUGGUCACUGCAAAACCCUGGGCACGAGCCCGAGUGAAGUGGCCAUCGGUGUAGAUCUUGGUGGUAGUAGCAAAUAUUCAAAUGAGAAAUUUGAAGGCCAAAAAGGGGGAAAGGUUCCAUGUGAACGGCACUUACGCAUGGGUUAGUCGAUCCUAAGAGACGAGGGAAGCCCGUCUGAUAGUGCGCCUAACGCGAGUUUCGAAAGAGAAUCGGGUUAAAAUUCCAAAACUGGGAUGCAGAAGCUAACAGUAAUGUUAGGGACUCUGAAAAUGUCAGCAAGGGCCUCAAAAAGAGUUAUCUUUUCUGUUUAACGACCUGCCCACUCUAGAAAGGGCUCAGCUGGAGGUAAGGUCCAGCGGCCAGAAGAGCACCGCAUAUCGUGUGGUGUCCGAUGCGGCCCUGACAACCCUUGAAAAUCUAGAGGAAUGAGUGCCGAUCGUACUCAUAAUAGCAUCAGGUCUCCAAGGUGAACAGCCUCUGGUCAAUGGAACAAUAUAGGCAAAGGAAGUCGGCAAAAUGGAUCUGUAAUCUCGGGAAAAGGAUUGGCUCUCAGAGUUGAGCAUGGGGGUCCUAGUCCUGAACUCGUCAACUGUCGGUGUACUGCUCAAGCUACUCUCAUGGCGAGAGCGAGUCAUCAUGUGCUGGCCGGGGGACGAACUGGGAACGGCUCCCUCGGGGGCCUUCCCCGAGUGACGAACAGUUGACUCAAAAACUGGUAUAGACAUGGGGAAUCCGACUAUUAAUAAAACAAAGCAUUGCGAUGGUCCCUAUGGAUGCUCACGUAAUGUGAUUUCUGCCAAGUGCUCUGAAUGUCAAAGUGAAGAAAUUCAACCAAGCGUGGGUAAAUGGCGGGAGUAACUAUGACUCUCUUAAGGUAGCCAAAUGCCUCGUCAUCUAAUUAGUGAUGAAUGUGAAUGAAUUAACUAGAUUCCCACUGUCCCUGUCUAUUAUCUAGUGAAACCACAGCCAAAGGAAUGAGCUUGGUAGAAUCAUUAGGGAAAGAAGACCCUGUUGAGCUUGACUCUAGUCUGACUUUGUAAAAUGACUUGAGAGGUGUAGGAUAAGUGGGAGCUCUCGGGCGAAAUUAAAAUACCACUACUUUUAACGUUAUUUACUUAUUCCAUGAAUUAGAGGCGGGGCACGGCCCCUCUUUUUAGACCCAAGGUCGGCUUCAGCUGAACGAUCCGAGCAGAAGACAUUGUCAGGUGGGGAGUUUGGUUGGGCAGCACAUCUGUUAAAAGAUAAUACUGGCGUCCUAAGAUGAGCUCAACAAGAACAGAAAUCUCAUGCAGAACAAAGGGUAAAAGCUCGUUUAAUUCUGAUUUCCAGUACGAAUAUUAACAGUGAAAGCAUGGCCUAUUGAUCCUUUAAACCUUCAGAAUUUGAAGUUAGGGGUGUCAGAAAAGUUACCACAGGGAUAAUUGGCUUGUGGAAGCCAAACAUUCAUAGCGAUGUUGCAUUUUGAUCCUUUGAUGUCGGCUCUUCCUAUCAUUGUGAAGCAGAAUUCACCAACUGUUGGAUUGUUCACCCACUAAUAGGGAAUGGGAGCUGGGUUUAGACCAUCGUGAACAGGUCAUUUUUUCCCUACUAAUGUCACAUCGCAAAAUUAAUUCAACCUAGUAAGAGAUGAACCAUUGAUUCGCACAAUUGGUCAUCGCGCUUGGUUGAAAAGCUAGUGGCACGAAGCUACCGUGCGCUUGAUUAUGAUUGAACGUUUCUAAGUCAGAAUCCAGACUAGAAGUGACACACGCACCCGUCACCUGAUUGCCAACCCACAGUAGGGGCCUCUGUCCCCUAAGGGCACAUGUCGUAAGUGUAGUGACUGCAGCGGACAAGUUGUGGGCGCCUCCUUGAAACGUAAUUCCCACCGGACAGUGGGUAGAAUCCUUUGCAGACGACUUAAAUAUGCGACUGUUAGAAUUCGGCACCCCUACGGUGCAGCAAAAAUUAAUUCAUCUGGUGAUCCAA
rfam:Gossypium raimondii Chr13_contig_513, whole genome shotgun sequence.